CCGUACGAUGGACGGGCCAGCGUGCCCGACGAGUCGGGUAGGGAAUCCGGUGCGAAUCCGGGACUGACGCGCAGCGGUGAGAGCGACGCUCCGGACAACAUGCCACUGGUGAGAACUGGGAAGGCGUUCGAGAAGCGGUAGACCUCGAGUCCGAAGACCUGCUGGCUCCGGCGGGCAGCG
rnacentral:ncRNA from 2 species